GAUGAACGCUGGCGGCGUGCCUAAUACAUGCAAGUCGAGCGAACAGAUGAGGAGCUUGCUCCUCUGACGGUAGCGGCGGACGGGUGAGUAACACGUGGAUAACCUACCUAUAAGACUGGGAUAACUUCGGGAAACCGGAGCUAAUACCGGAUAAUAUAUUGAACCGCAUGGUUCAAUAGUGAAAGACGGUUUUGCUGUCACUUAUAGAUGGAUCCGCGCCGCAUUAGCUAGUUGGUAAGGUAACGGCUUACCAAGGCAACGAUGCGUAGCCGACCUGAGAGGGUGAUCGGCCACACUGGAACUGAGACACGGUCCAGACUCCUACGGGAGGCAGCAGUAGGGAAUCUUCCGCAAUGGGCGAAAGCCUGACGGAGCAACGCCGCGUGAGUGAUGAAGGUCUUCGGAUCGUAAAACUCUGUUAUUAGGGAAGAACAAAUGUGUAAGUAACUAUGCACGUCUUGACGGUACCUAAUCAGAAAGCCACGGCUAACUACGUG
rnacentral:rRNA from 1 species